UACGUAGGGUGCAAGCGUUGUCCGGAAUUAUUGGGCGUAAAGAGCUCGUAGGCGGCUCGUCACGUCGGCUGUGAAAACCCGGGGCUCAACCCCGGGCCUGCAGUCGAUACGGGCGAGCUAGAGUUCGGCAGGGGAGACUGGAAUUCCUGGUGUAGCGGUGAAAUGCGCAGAUAUCAGGAGGAACACCGGUGGCGAAGGCGGGUCUCUGGGCCGAUACUGACGCUGAGGCGCGAAAGCGUGGGGGGCGAACAGG
rnacentral:rRNA from 1 species